rnacentral:rRNA from 1 species
GAUGAACGCUGGCGGCGUGCCUAAUACAUGCAAGUCGAACGAAACUUCUUUAUCACCGAGUGCUUGCACUCACCGAUAAAGAGUUGAGUGGCGAACGGGUGAGUAACACGUGGGCAACCUGCCCAAAAGAGGGGGAUAACACUUGGAAACAGGUGCUAAUACCGCAUAACCAUAGUUACCGCAUGGUAACUAUGUAAAAGGUGGCUAUACUACCGCUUUUGGAUGGGCCCGCGGCGCAUUAGCUAGUUGGUAGGGUAAAGGCUUACCAAGGCAAUGAUGCGUAGCCGAAUUGAGAGGUUGAUCGGCCACAUUGGGACUGAGACACGGCCCAAACUCCUACGGAAGGCGGCAGUAGGGAAUCUUCCACAAUGGGCGAAAGCCUGAUGGAGCAACGCCGCGUGGGUGAAGAAGGUCUUCGGAUCGUAAAACCCUGUUGUUAGAGAAGAAAGUGCGUGAGAGUAACUGUUCACGUUUCGACGGUAUCUAACCAGAAAGCCACGGCUAACUACGUG